UCGUAAAGGUGCAUGAGUGGUGUUUGGUUUGUUACGUGUGGUUGGCUGCGGCGUUUGCAACAACUUCCAUGCUUUCAGACCUCUUCAGUUGUGCGGCAAGGCUUGUAUCGCCUUGAGCGUAUUGUGGGUUUUCUGUGUUGGCUACCUAAUCAACGGUAUCGGUUGGAUUGAUCAAAGUUUGAUUUCGUCUUCCGUCGCAUUUGCGGCAUGAGGUGAACCUCGAUGCGGUCUCUUUGAUCCACCUCGUCGAAGCACGUGCUUUGACGUUGUGGCACAUUGAGCAUUGCUUGGUCUCUUGUAUACGGAACAUAUAGUGGGCAUGGAUCUAACGAUUCUCGUUUGCCCUCAUAUUAGCGUAACGCUUCUCUUACACGACUUGCUCCACGUUUUAGCUCGUACGGACGUGGUGCUAUGUCGAAGAGGAAUGCUACCUGGUUGAUCCUGCCAGUAGUCAUAUGCUUGUCUCAAAGAUUAAGCCAUGCAGGUGUAAGUAA
rnacentral:misc_RNA from 1 species